CGGCCCGUCGGCGCUGCGGAGCGGUCGUUCUGUCGGGGCCGGAAGCGGAGCUGGGUGCGGAGAGCCGUGUCCGGUGACCGGUUUCUCGGCCGUUCUUUUCGGUCGCGGCGGUUCUCGCCGCUAUCGACCCGGCGCGGCCCGGUCACGGCGGCCCUCCCGCGCUCUGCCGUGCCCCGAGGCGCUGAGGGCCCCGCGCCGGGACGGCCGCCGAACUGAGCGGGCUGUGCCGUUACCUCAGGAUCCAAGGGAAGAGAAAUCUGGAAAUCAGACGGAGGAAGAGUUUUGGAAUUAAUCUGCAUUAAUGAGCCCAGACCGGGAUGUAAAUAGAGCUGGCGCACGUAACCUUUCAUUUGAUGAAUUGAAAACAAUCAUAGGUUUCUUUUUUCCUAUGAGUUAUUCAUAAACUUACAUAAAUGCAUUGCAUAGUGCCACUGGGUGAAGUCUUCAUUUGCAGCCCCCUGCAGUAUGCACAGCCUGAUGAGCCCUCAGAGAGACGUUUCUGCUUGCCCCCAGCCUUCCUGAGGAGGGGUUUGCUUUUCUCUGUGGUAAACUCCCAAUAUGGAAUCGUUCCUCAGUAAUACGCAUAUCCCACUUAGACACAAUUCCAUCUGCAUCCUCGCCCUCUUUGUAUAGAUCUUUAACAGAGACACACGCUACCUCUGGCACAUGGGUCCUGCCUGCACCUGAGUAACCCAGGAAGGUGCCCCUCCAGAGCACUGGGGAACAGGACAGCUCUCCCUGCCUGUUCCCUCUCCUAGUCUUUGGUGGGAGAUCAGUGGUGAUGAGGAAUGGAUGCUGAAAGCAGCGAGUCCAGAAGUACCAACCACCAGCAGCAUGAAUCAACUGGAGGCCUCACAUCACAGAACGUGACCAGAGCAAACCCCAGGCUUCAUUUUCUGUGGCAGAGACAGUUUUUGUCACAGUGCUGUGCUCAGUGACCCAGAUAAAGUCUGUUCCGUCUCACGGAGCUGAGGUAUGAAAAUGCCUCGUGCACAAAUCUGGAUUUUCUCUGAAUAGUGAGCUGUCCACUGUGAGAGCCUUUUGGCUCUGUCACCACCAAUAAAGAGUGGCAGAACAGAUGCAGCAGCCUCAAGCACCUCUCAGUUCCUUUGUUAAUAAGAAAUUCAAGUAGACUGGACUCAGAACUAAUGGAAAGGAAGGCAGCCACAGACCACACACCUCUCAGAACCACAGAUGCUAUAGGCUUCCAGAAAACUCUGUUCCCUCACCAACAAAUGGAGCACCAACAUAGAGUAAAGUAGAACAAAGUACAACAGGUAAAAAAAA